rnacentral:misc_RNA from 1 species
ACACCUCAACUCCCAUGGUUUGCCAUGAUGAGCUUGGACUUUGGAGGUCUUGCCGGCAUGUGGUCGGCUCCUCUCAAAUGAAUCAGCUUUCCAGUGUCUGGUGGCGUCGCAGGUGUGAUAACUAUCUACGCUUGUGAUGAUUCCACCAGGUAACCUUCAGCAAUGGAGGUUCGCUGGGGCUCAUAAAUGUCUCUCCUCAGUGAGGACAGCUUUGUGAAU